UACGUAGGGUGCAAGCGUUGUCCGGAAUUAUUGGGCGUAAAGAGCUCGUAGGCGGUCUGUUGCGUCGGCUGUGAAAACCCGGGGCUCAACUCCGGGCCUGCAGCCGAUACGGGCAGACUAGAGUUCGGCAGGGGAGACUGGAAUUCCUGGUGUAGCGGUGAAAUGCGCAGAUAUCAGGAGGAACACCGGUGGCGAAGGCAGCUCGCUGGGACGUUACUGACGCUGAGACGCGAAAGCGUGGGGAGCAAACAGG
rnacentral:rRNA from 1 species